AGUCACAAGGGAGUGGCCAUCCCCACUGAGGUCAAUACCAAGGAAGGAACCAUGUGUAUACCAAAUGAUGAAUACGCCUACAGUUGCCAGUCCAACAUACAUCCCAAUAACCUGUCCAGACAAAGAUUCAGGUGAGAAACUUAUCAAGAAAGUUCUCAGGUAAAUUCGUGCAAACUGUAUCAUUAAAAUGCAACAAACGGGAAGAAAGUGAAAAGUAAGGUACCAUAUAGCGGAAUAAUAUCCAGGCGCUGAUAAGUGAAUCAUCGCUUCUGCGUGGGGGCUUCUUCAUUAUGUCUUUGUCUGGAGGAUUAAAUCCUAGUGCUGUUGCAGGUGGUCCAUCAGUAACAAGAUUCACCCACAAGAGCUGAACAGGUAUGAGGCCUUCAGGAAUGCCUAAUGCUGCUGUUAAGAAAAUGGAGGCAACCUCACCAAUGUUGGACGAGAUCAUGUACCUGAAACAGGGUUUAAAACUUCAAAUCUUGAAAGAAAAAACAUACAUGUUUAAGCAUCAAAAAGAGGAAAACUA
rnacentral:lncRNA from 1 species